GGCUGCGAUCAUACCAGCACUAAUGCACCGGAUCCUAUCAGAACUACGAAGUUAAACGUGCUUUGGCGAGAUUAGUACUAAGAUGGGUGACCUCUUGGGAAGUCCUCGUGUUGGACCCC
rnacentral:rRNA from 1 species